UACGAAGGGGGCUAGCGUUGCUCGGAAUUACUGGGCGUAAAGCGCACGUAGGCGGCUUGUUAAGUAGGAGGUGAAAUCCUGGAGCUCAACUCCAGAACUGCCUUCGAUACUGGCGAGCUCGAGUCCGGGAGAGGUGAGUGGAACUGCGAGUGUAGAGGUGAAAUUCGUAGAUAUUCGCAAGAACACCAGUGGCGAAGGCGGCUCACUGGCCCGGUACUGACGCUGAGGUGCGAAAGCGUGGGGAGCAAACAGG
rnacentral:rRNA from 1 species